rnacentral:lncRNA from 1 species
UAAAAAUAGUUAUCAUCUGGAAGAGGAGAAAGAUUAGUUUUCUUUCUUUCCUUUCUCCCUUCCUUUCUCUUUCUUUCUCUCUCCUCAUUUCUCUCUCCUCAUUUCUCCCUUUCUCCCUUUCUUUCUUCUUUCCUUCCUUCCUUUUUCUCUUUCUUUCCUUCUCCCUUCCUUUCUCUCUCUUCAUUUCUCCCUUUCUUCCUUCUUUCUUUCCUUCCUUUUUCUCUUUAUUUCCUUCUCCCUUUCCAUCUCUCUCCCUUUCUUUCUCUUUCUUCCUUCUUUCCUUCCUUUUUCUCUUUCUUUCCUUCUUUCUUCCUUUCUCUCUCAUUUCUCCCUUUCUCUCUCUUUCUUCCUUCCUUUUUCUCUCCUUCUCCCUUUCCUUCUCUUCCUUUCUCCCUUUCUCCCUUUUUCCUUCCUUUUCUCUUUCUUUCCUUCUCGAUUCCUGUCUCUCUCUUCAUUUCUCCCUUUCUCUAUUUCUUCCUUCUUUCCUUCCUUUUUCUUUCUUUCCUUCUCUCUUCCUUUCUCUUCCUUCCUUCCUUCCUUCCUUUCUUCCUUCCUUUCUUCCUUCCUUCCUUCCUUCCUUCCUUCCUUCCUUCCUUCCUUCCUUCCUUCCUUCCUUCCUUCCUUCCUUCCUUCCUUUCUUCCUUCCUUCCUUCCUUCCUUCCUUUCUUUCUUUCUUUCUUUCUUUCUUUCUUUCUUUCUUUCUUUCUUUCUUUCUUUCUUUCUUUCUUUCUUUCUUUCUUUCUUUCUUUCUUUCUUUCUUUCUUUCUUUCUUUCUUUCUUUCUUUCUUUCUUUCUUUCUUUCUUUCUUUCUUUCUUUCUUUCUUUCUUUCUUUCUUUCUUUCUUUCUUUCUUUCUUUCUUUCUUUCUUUCUUUCUCUAGUAGGUGCAGUCAGGUUAUGCCUUAGUGUUCAGAAUACUGGGCCUGGAAUAAGGAAAACUUCUCUUCCUGAGUUCAAAUCCAACCUCAAACACUUAAUAGUUAUAUAA